AACGCACAUUGCGCCCUUUGGCAUUCCGAAGGGCAUACCUGUUCGAGCGUCAUUUCAACCCUCAAGCCUGGCUUGGUGUUGGGCGUUUUGUCCCGCUACAUGCGCGGACUCGCCUCAAAAGAAUCGGCGUCUACAUGUGGGCCUGAUGCGUAGUAAAAUUCGCAGACCAGGCUGGCGUGCUGGCGGCCGGAACGUACAUAUCUUUUUGUUUGACCUCGGAUCAGGUAGGGAUACCCGCUGAACUUAA
rnacentral:misc_RNA from 1 species